CCUCUAUAUAAAGCAUAAAUCCAGUCUUGAACAUUUCAUCUUGUGAUGGGGAAGAAUUCAUGGCUGAAUGCUGUGAAGAAGGCCUUCAGAUCUCCCACCAAUGAUGAGAAGAAGAUCACCACAACAAGAGAUGAAGAAAACCACCAAAAAGAUGAAGAAAAAAAAAACGGGAAGAAGAGAUGGAUUUUUCGGAAGAAUCUAAGCAUUGAGACGGCGAAAUGUGCGAAUUCUUCGGCAGUGAGGAUUUGCGGCGGAGAAGAGAUCAGGAGGAAGCAGCCCAAAAUGGAGGAACAGAAGCGUCCUUUUGCGGCGGCGGCGGAGGAGAAUGUUUUGGUGAGAGAAGACAAGGCGGCGAUUCUCAUUCAGAGAAUCUUCAGAGGAUACCUGAUUGUUCGCACAAAGUACUUCGAUAUGCCCCCUCUGACUAUUAGUGAGGCAGUUGAGCAGCUGGAAAACCUCGAUCAUGACUUCUAUGGCUUUCGCAACGAAGAAACUGGUAAGCUGACUUCACGUCUUUUCAUCUUUAUAUAUGACAGGGCUCCUCACGGACGCUUACGCUAGAGAGUGCCAUGUUGCAUUGUAACGCCCGUACUUUUUAAGUACUAAUUUUAAAUUGUCGUGAAUUAGUUAAAAAAAAAUUCGUCAUGCUUUGCUUCUAUUUGUUUUUAUAAAAUGGCUUUGGGCCAUGACAAUCAUAAAGGUCCAACAAAUAAAUAAUCAUACAAAUUUGGGCUUACAACUAAAUGAGCCCAAAACAAAUUUAAUUAAAGUGUGGGAGCCCAAUUCAAUUCCAAAAAAUGUGGGAGCAAGCCCAACACGUUUUUUUUUUCUUUCUUCCCUCUUGGCCGAUUCCUCCCUCCAUGAGACUCCCCAUCUUUCAACUUCUCAACUCUCCAUCUUCUACAAUAAAUCGUACAAAUCAAGGGUCACGCAUUAAUCCAUAAAGCUCCUUCAUGUAUCCCCUCCCCUAACUCCUCACAAUACACUUUACAUCUUCAAACAAAAAAAAUUGAGAGAGAGAGAGUGCUGAGAGAAAGAGCCGAGAGGAGAAGAAGUAGAAGAAGUUGCUACCAUUCUUUUGUUUUCUCCACAACCAAGUUAAAUUCAUUGAGGUUGUUCGCACGCUCGUUAAAGUCGGAUCGAGAA